AUUAAUCCAACAAUUUGUUCAGCGCAUGGUAGCUAUAUAAAUAAUCCAGAUAUCAUUCGUGUUGACAGAAAUUAGCAAUGCUCCCAAGUACAUACAAAAUUGUCGAGAGAGAAUUUCCUAGCAUGCUGAGUUUCCAAAGACUGGACUUCUUAAUAAUGACACACCUUCGUGUCCAUGCAGGAGCUUUAGGGUCGAUCAGGCCAUAGAUUUCUUCGAUGUUGGCGACGAAUCUUCCGUUCAAGCUUCCGUUGCCCCUCCACCACACAUAUUUGCGUGUCUCCACUCACUCCCCUCAUAGGCGGCCGCUGCUCGACAUGUUGAGCCACUCAUGGCUGUCUCCACUCACUCCCCUCAUAGGAAUAGUGAACCGUAAAAAUAUUUUCAGAGUAUUAGGCUUGUAUCAUGAAUUAUGUUCGCUUCUAUCAAUGCUUCAAGACGCAAAGCUUUUUGUGUUUGCUAAGAAAACUAAGCAAAUAUGAAGGUAAAAGGAAAUCAUCAAUAUAAUUCCGCAAAAACUACUACAUGGAACGGACAUGAAAUGUUGCGGAAAUUGCUGAAUCUUGCUUUUCUGGAACAACGAUAUAGAGUGUUCACUACUGACUUGCACAUACUUUGCAAUCAGAAAAAAGCUUCAUCAAGUAUGUAGACGCGGUGAAAGGGAAUACAACAUACAAAAUCUAGAUACAGAAUUCAAGAUAAUAAAGCUAGAUGGAGCUAACACGACACAAUAUGCUUCAUCGUUUAGCGGGUACUCCCAUGCAUAUACUAAAUCAUAUAGACAUACACUUCAACCAUCAGAACUAUGCCAGAACUGGAACUGGUUUGUUCUUACAUGUCAUUUCCAGUGAGAAAAGGGGGAUGCUAUACAUUCCAAGUCACAAAAAUUGUCUUAAAAUUAUAAGAAGCAAACUAAAAAUUAUAAAUAAUCAGAAGAAGUGCUCCCGCUGAGCGAAAACACAUUGCAUCUGAACAAUGCAAAGCAAUUGCAGCACAUAAGCUAGCACCUUAUUCAUGCUUUAAAGGUGUACAGUUUGACCACCUACUUGUAGCUACUAUACACAUUCACAAGACAUUAGGCCUUUCAUGUAAUAUUUUUCUAGGCAAGAAAACAUUGCUAUAUGACGUAACUCGUAGUAGUAGGUAAAUUCACAAACUGUGUAUGUUGUAUCAAUGACUCUGUUGUAAUCAAACUUUGAAGCUACAAUCAGAUAAAGGAAUAAUAUGAACUUCAGUUAACUGAUGUAAAAUAACAAAAAGAGGCAUGUCUAAAGAACACAAUGGAAGAAUAGAAAAAUGCAUGUAGAAGAUUACACAUGAUCUAAUCAUAUACCUUGCCACCCAAAAUUUUGCCUUUGUCGUAUCAAUGAGUUUGCUAUAAAUGAGGAAGUAGUAAUUUUUGCACGUACUCUAGGUGUUUUGUCAUCGGUUGAACGACAAGCUUCUUCAUUUUUGGAAACUACACGAACAAGACAAAACAUUUGUUCACAGUAAGUUAGUAACCCUAAAGGAUCUACUUACUCGGACAAAUUCAUAAGAACAAACUGCAUAUACAGUAAAACACAACGAGCUCUGAAUCAAAGUAUAACUAUUUGAAAAUCUUUGGAGAAGAUCAAACAAUACAUCAUUGCAUCACUACUCGGGGUCACUAACGGAGGCGCCAAUUCCUUCGAGCUGGGGAAAGGGGAAUUGAAGGUGCUC
rnacentral:lncRNA from 1 species